UCUGAGUCGCAAUAGGGAUAGUAGUGGAAAUCCUUUUUGCUUGGCCAAAGGUUUGUUCUUUCCUGAAAAGUAAAGGCAAAAAGAUUGUAACGGAUAGCCCGGCCGCAC
rnacentral:sRNA from 1 species